AGGUGUGUAAGCAUGGUAACAUGUUCAGCUUACUGGUACUAAUAGGUCGUGAGGCUUAGCCAC
rnacentral:rRNA from 1 species